AGGGCAGCUACCUGGUGACAGGAUGCGAAUCUCGAAAGCCGGUCUCAGUUCGGAUUGGAGGCUGAAACUCGCCUCCAUGAAGUUGGAUUCGCUAGUAAUCGCGCAUCAGCCAUGGCGCGGUGAAUACGUUCCCGGGCCUUGUACACACCGCCCGUCAAGCCAUGGGAGUUGGGGGUGCCUGAAGUACGUGACCGCAAGGAGCGUCCUAGGGCAAAACCGAUGACUGGGGCUAAGUCGUAACAAGGUACC
rnacentral:rRNA from 1 species